UGUUUGCGUGAAGUAUGAGUAUUAUGUAUGUGUGUGUGUGUGUGUGUGCGAAUAUAUGUGUAUGUAAUUUAGUGAUUAUGUGAAUGCAUCGAAUGCCUGAGAGAAAUAGUGCGAAGUCUGAAAUGCCGAUUGCUUGAUGAGAGUGUGUGUUGAGUGUGACUGCCAUCAGCCCAAACAACUUUCCAAUGAAUCCUUUGAAAUUGAUUACCAAAUCUCCACGUCUAUCUAUAGUGUGAAUCUGAAGAAUGUGGAUGUCAGAACUGAAACUAAAUGGUUUGUGAUUGAAGUUUUAUGAGAGAGACAACAGUCUCUGCCCCAUAUCAAACUUCAAAUGCGCGCGUGUGUGGCGUGUGUUGUGUGAUAUUACUAAAUAAUUUGAAUUGCCAAAAUAAAUUAGAAUGAUGUUGAUAUUGAUGUAUGUCUGUCGCUGCAUCAGUGCCGGAUAGCGUCGUGUGUGAAAGAGAGAGAGAGCUAGACGCCAAUUGGAACAUGGACUCUUAUGGCUGUGCUAUGCGAACGUGUAUUUUGGUGAAUGAUACGUGAUGAGAGAUGAAACAUGUGCUUGUGUGAUGAUGAUGAUGAUGAUAAUGAUGAAUAUCUGAUGACAAUGGAUGUAUUUAAAAUAAUAGCGUGACUGCGUGUCUGAAAGUGACGAACAGAAAUUUUCCGAAAGAAACCUGUUUAAAGGCUCAUCCUGCACAAAUUUACAAAUAUGUAGAAGAAUAUUAUUAACGAAGUCUGCUGCAUAUGUGUAGUAUUUGUAUGUAUGUUGUUUGAGUGUGCAAGACUAUGACUGAUAUAUUGUGUGUGAGUGUUACUAUCAUUCCAGACUCUCAAAUUAAUUUAGAAACUAAUACAAAAUAAAAAAAGAAUAAAACAAAUGUAAAUUGAAAUGGUCGAUCUGGCUCAGUUAUAAUAAUAAUUAUAACUUGGCCAUUGCAAGUCCAAUUAGUCUAUAAGUAUAUACGUAAUCGGUUUAGGCCGAUACCAAGGUGUGAGUGUCGUAUAUUAUGUAUUAUGAGUGUGUGUGUGUGUGUGUGCGUGUGUGUAUGAUUACAUAUAUAUGCGUGUGUGUGUGUGUUUGUGUGUAUGAAGAGUUGUUUAAAGCACCACGCGCAGCAGAGCAAAAUGUAAAGAAACGAAACAUAUUUUUUGUAAGAAUGUAAACAAAACAAAAGGAAAACAAAAACAAAAAAAAAAAACAAUUGUUAGUGUAAACAUUAACAAGAAUACAAAAACCCAAAAAACGACAUGGAAAGUGAACGAAAACAAAUUGAAAACGUAACAAAUGGUACUGAUUUUAUACUGAGAACUGAGACUUAUACAAUACAUAAAUACUUACAACUACAUAAGGACUAUCAUUAAUUACUUUACGCUGGACGUACGAAAACUAACUAACUAACUUACGGAAAAAUAGUAAAAUUUACACAACACGUAACUUAUAAAUAAAUAAAAAAAGAAAGAAAAAAAAACGAAAACAAAAACAAAAACGAAACACAUGCAUGAUGCAAUAAUAUAUCGAUGUAUGCAGGCACAUUGUGUGUAGACACAUUUACACAGACAUACAUGAACAUAUAUUAUACAUACAUGGAUGAAUGCAUAUUUACAAAUAAAUAUAUAUAUAAAUAUUUAAAAAUAAUAAAUUGGUAACGCUGACGCGCGGUGCUUUAGCCCAAAAACAAAUGAGUCUAAACUAAUAAUGUGUGUAUUGUGGUAUUAUGGUAUCUCUGCAAGGCGUGUAAUUACUGUAUGCGUGUGUGUUAAGAGGUGUGUGGUGUGUCUGAUGAAUGCAAAAUCCGAAAUCAAAUUAUACUUGUUUCUUAAGUUUGUCCUUUAACGAAAUUGUAUGUCUAACCCAAAAUCUGAUUGAAUUCCUUUAAAAACAAUGAUGAGAAUUAUUUAGUUUAUGUUGCACUUACUUUAAGCUAAGAACAAGUAUGUAUAAAGUGUGGCCUAAAUGUUUAUAAAAUGUAUGACUGAUAGUUUGUACGUGAUGAAUAUAAAAAUUGUAAUUGUAUUUGUGUGCAAGAGAUAGAA
rnacentral:sRNA from 1 species